rnacentral:misc_RNA from 1 species
GUACGCGGUGGGCCAGCGUUGUUAUGGAAACCUUCAGGUGGAAGUACCCGAGAGAGUUCCACGACUGAAAGGUCGCAUGUUAGAUUCGUCAGUGAAGACAGGGCGCCGCCAUCCAAUUGCUGAUAAGCCCCGUACGCCUUUGCAAGAACCAACGCUGUAAAAAUGUAAGGGGUUUUACACGUCUGUCUAGAACAGACGAGUAAUACAAACCUGGGUAAUAAAGCGCCACCUGCAAUGGGUUCUUGUCACGUUUCGGCCAUAUAACUUGUUUGUAAUACACCUCAGUCCGGCCCGACGCUCGCCUACAUCAAAGAGAAACAUGCGCAGGUAAAAGAGCGGAAGGAAACGUGCCAUUAUUUCCCCGGCCAAUCCAAAAAAAAGAGAAAAAAAAAAGAAGAAGAUAAUUAACUUAGUGCAGUUUCCUUUCAAACUUCAACUAUGCAUGUUCCCUGUUCAACAUUCACACAACUGACACUGAAAAGAAGUUUACAAUGUAUUUUAGCCAGUUUUCAAAUAUGUAGAGUAGGCCCUAUUUCUGUGGAAAUGAUUAAAAGUGGCUAAUUUAAGCUGAACUUUAUUGUAGCCGUUUUUGUGAAAAUAAAAGUUUAAAAAGGUAGCAAUUGGUUAAUCUGGCUGUAAAUUGUUUUCCCUUUCAAUGAUAUAAGUAUUUUAUUUUUAAUGUUUGUAAUGCCUAUGAACUGUAU